GACCUGACCACUGGCCCCUGACUACAUGGUCUUUGGAACCCGUGGCAUUGGAAGAUGUCAGAGACAUGGCACAUGGAUGUGAUCUUCAAAAACUGUUACAGCCUCAUCUCAUUGGAUUGGUCUACACAUCAAGGUGCUGGAAGUGUCGCGUGCCCAGAGAUGAUGUGGAAGCUGUAUACCCCUUUCCCUUCUGCCCACCUUGCCCUGUGCAUCUCUUCCUGAAUGGCUUUUCCUGAAU
rnacentral:lncRNA from 1 species